rnacentral:rRNA from 1 species
UACAGAGGUCUCAAGCGUUGUUCGGAUUCAUUGGGCGUAAAGGGUGCGUAGGUGGCGCCGUAAGUCGGGUGUGAAAUUUCGGAGCUUAACUCCGAAACUGCAUUCGAUACUGCGGUGCUUGAGGACUGGAGAGGAGACUGGAAUUCAUGGUGUAGCAGUGAAAUGCGCAGAUAUCAGGAGGAACACCGGUGGCGAAGGCGGUUCUCUGGGCAUUACCUGACGCUGAGGAGCGAAAGUGUGGGGAGCGAACAGG